rnacentral:rRNA from 1 species
CGUGCAGGCGGUUCGGUAAGUUGGGUGUGAAAGCUCCUGGCUCAACUGGGAGAGGUCGCUCAAAACUGGCGAACUGGAGAGUGGUAGGGGAAGGUGGAAUUCCGGGUGUAGUGGUGAAAUGCGUAGAUAUCCGGAGGAACACCAGUGGCGAAAGCGGCCUUCUGGACCAUUUCUGACGCUCAGACGCGAAAGCUAGGGUAGCAAACGGGAUUAGAGACCCCGGUAGUCCUAGCCGUAAACGAUGUGAACUUGGCGCUGGUUGGGUAAAACCGAUCAGUGCCGUAGCAAACGCGAUAAGUUCACCACCUGGGGACUACGGCCGCAAGGUUAAA